UACGUAGGGGGCAAGCGUUGUCCGGAAUCAUUGGCGUAAAGAGCGUGUAGGCGGCCAGAUAAGUCCGCUGUGAAAUCUCGAGGCUCAACUUCGAGCUGUCGGUGGAAACUGUCUGGCUAGAGUCCGGAAGAGGAGAGUGGAAUUCCUGGUGUAGCGGUGAAAUGCGCAGAUAUCAGGAAGAACACCUAUGGCGAAGGCAGCUCUCUGGGACGGUACUGACGCUGAGGCUCGAAAGCGUGGGGAGCGAACAGG
rnacentral:rRNA from 1 species